rnacentral:rRNA from 1 species
CCUACGGGAGGCAGCAGUGAGGAAUAUUGGUCAAUGGCCGGAAGGCUGAACCAGCCAUGCCGCGUGAAGGUCAGUGCCCUAUGGGCGUUAAACUUCUUUUGUGCGGGAGCAAUAAUGGUCACGUGUGGCCAGACGAGAGUACCGUACGAAUAAGCAUCGGCUAACUACGUGCCAGCAGCCGCGGUAAUACGGGGGAUGCAAGCGUUAUCCGGAUUUAUUGGGUUUAAAGGGUGCGUAGGCUGUGAGGUAAGUCAGCGGUGAAAUGCCCCCGCUCAACGGGGUGAAGUGCCAUUGAUACUGCCUGGCUGGAAUGCGGAUGCGGUGGGAGGAAUGUGUGGUGUAGCGGUGAAAUGCAUAGAUAUCACACAGAACACCGAUUGCGAAGGCAUCUCACGAAUCCGCGAUUGACGCUGAUGCACGAAAGCGUGGGUAUCAAACAGGAUUAGAUACCCGGGUAGUC